rnacentral:rRNA from 1 species
UUCGUAGGUGGCAAGCGUUGUCCGGAUUUACUGGGCGUAAAGAGCGCGCAGGCGGUCGUUCAAGUCGCGUGUGAAAGCCCCCGGCUCAACUGGGGAGGGUCACGCGAUACUGAUCGACUCGAAGGCAGGAGAGGGUAGUGGAAUUCCCGGUGUAGUGGUGAAAUGCGUAGAUAUCGGGAGGAACACCAGUGGCGAAGGCGACUACCUGGCCUGUUCUUGACGCUGAGGCGCGAAAGCUAGGGGAGCAAACGGG